UUUCAUUUGGUAUCCUCUCUGUCGCU
rnacentral:piRNA from 1 species